GUGUCAGCAGCCGCGGUAAUACGAAGGGUGCAAGCGUUACUCGGAAUUACUGGGCGUAAAGCGUGCGUAGGUGGUUCGUUAAGUCUGAUGUGAAAGCCCUGGGCUCAACCUGGGAAUGGCAUUGGAUACUGGCGACCUAGAGUGCGGUAGAGGGUGGCGGAAUUCCCGGUGUAGCAGUGAAAUGCGUAGAUAUCGGGAGGAACAUCCGUGGCGAAGGCGGCCACCUGGACCAGCACUGACACUGAGGCACGAAAGCGUGGGGAGCAAACAGGAUUAGAUACCCUAGUAGUCC
rnacentral:rRNA from 1 species